rnacentral:ncRNA from 1 species
UCUUAUCCAGAGAGGUGGAGGGACCGGCCCCGUGAAGCCUCGGCAACCGAUCAUCAUCAGAUCAAGGUGCUAAUUCCGGCAGAUAAACAAUCAAAUCUGGAAGAUAAGA